rnacentral:lncRNA from 1 species
UAAGUUCAUUCAAUAGUUGACGUAUAUGUGCGGUAGAGACUUUGAUUGAAUUAUAUUUAUUUAAUAAUUAUGGGUUUCAAGUGCUGUGCCCCUACCUGUAAUCAAGGUUCAAAUAACAGUGAAAAUGAUCCUGAUGUCAGUUUUCAUCGAUUUCCACUGAAGGAUCCUAAAAUUGAGGCUAAAAUAAAGGAUUACCAUAGUUGUUUGUCCCAACACUGGAUCGCCAUCUUUCGGCCUGUUUUCGGCUGAUAUAAAUAUAUCACAAAGAAUCAACCCUCCAUGUAAAGCUGGCUCACAAGCUUUCACUCAAGCUGUUAAAUCCAACCACGAUUGAGAAGACCAAUCUCAAAUUCGCUAAGCCAUUUUCCAUGAGUCCACCAUUUGUGCAUUCAAAUUAUAUUCUGAUACUUAAAAAAUACGGAUCUUAUUACUAUGGAAAUUUUCAAACAUGGAUACAUCAAAUUUGACUCAAAUUAAGGAACUCCAUGGCGACGAAAACAUUUCUAAUUCUGAAAUCAUAUUUACUGACUUGAAGCUUUACGAAUUGGAGAGAAUUAUAUCUACUUUAGAGAGCUGUGUUCUAUACUUUGUUGCUAAUUGCGUUUUUUCUUCGGAAAAAUGUCCAGUGUACAUCUUGCAGAAGACGUAUAUCCUUAAAAGAUACUCCUCCAGAUAAUAUAAUCAGAUUUGAGUCGGAAUCAGACCGAGAGAAAAUUGAAUUUGGAAGAUUAAUCGAAAUUAUAGGAAAGGGUGGGUUAUUAAUAGCCUAAUAUAUCCUCCAUGUGUGUAUGCCUCUUCGUUUUCUGAUUUUAUAUUUGCUCGUGAGGAAGAAAAAUCCCAGUUAAUGAUUUGCCGAAUCUAAGAGCAUCAUCGGUUGUUCCAAUUUUUAUCGAAAAAAUGGUCAAGGGCUCAGAGAUGGUUGUUGAAGUAAAUAUUAACACAAGGUGUGAUGGAAGCCACAAAUGAGUCUCACUCCUCAACAAAAUCAAACAAGUGUUUUUUCAAUAUUAUGAGCAAAAAGGAAUCUAUUAAUAUAUUUAAUUUCAUAGUCAAAUUGAAUUAGAGUUAUAUUAAGAGUAGAAAGUGGCUAUCACUAUCAGACAAGUAAGCUAUGAUUAAUAGAAUAAUAUAAAAGCUCCAAUCAGAGUCAAAAUAAUGUUUAAAUUCAAUUAAUAUUAUUUUUGAAGUAUUUAUUGGUGUCCUCAUAUGUAAAAAAAAAAAAAGAAACCAAAUAUUAACUUGGUAAACUUGACAAUUGAAUACUGUUUUGGAGAAGAGCAGCUCAACUGCAAUGGAGUUUUAGUAGAUUCACUGUUAACAGCCUGAGACCAUUGGAAAGGAAGUGAACAUAAAUCUACUCCGUAUAUGGUAAAAACAUUAGCAGGAAUUACUUCGAAGUCUAUCCUAAAGUCUAUAAUAAAGACUUUUUAUCAUAACAUUCCAACCAAUAGUAUACAGCGAAGAAUGGUUACAAUAUUAAUAUAUUAUCUUAAUCAGCUUUUAUCAAGGUUGAAUGACUUACAAAAUGUUCAAAUUUGCAAGAAAUGAUCCAGUCUUGAAUCAUUUGUGUCCUAAAAUGACAUUGUUUUUAAUGAGAAGAGUUGACGAUAUGGAUAUUUGAUAUUACAAUAUUAAAUUGUAAUAAUGCAGUCUAAAUAUUGAAAUUUACUUGCUUCUUAAUUACAAAACUGUAAUUGCCAGGAAUCGAAUUCAAUACUAAGUAGGACGUCAAAAAACAAUUCCCUCGUCAUUACCAAAACCCUAAAAAAAGACGACCCAAACUGUUUAAAUGUAUAAUUGCGAUGGAAAUUUCCGAAGUUUGAUUACAGAUUAAAUAAAAAUGAUCUACAAUUUAAAAUAAAAGAAUUAAGU